GUUCUUCCCAUCUUCCCUACCGUCCCCAAACCAGUUUGCAACUUUACAUCACCAAAUAAAACUGGGUGUGAAAAGUUAGAUUCUUUUGGAAUAAAAAUAUGGAGAAAAGAAGAGCUAAACCUGAUAGGAUGUCUGCUAAAAAAUGUGGCCUAUGUCAUUCAACUGAUAAAGGUUCAAUGGGCAAACAGAGAUCAAAUUCUUCUGCUUUCUUUG
rnacentral:misc_RNA from 1 species